CUCCUCUCCCCCCCCCCUCCCCCCCGCACCUUCCCUUCCCCUUCGCCUCUCCUCCCCCUCCCCCAACACAAAAUGGCGCUCACGGGCAAAAAGCGCGCGCGCCCGCCGCACCAACGGACAACCUCGCCCGGCGCCGACACUUAAAUCAGUCAGAGGGGUUUAUUACUAUCAUUAUACCGACCGUUCCUUCAUCAUACUAAGCCGCAAUGCAAAACAAAAAAAAAAAGGUAGGGGGUUUAAGCCUCUUGCAUUAUUUUAUACUCGAGAGUCGAGUUUUUUUUUUAAUGAACCAUUUUAAAAAUUAAAGGUGGCGGCGAUGUGCAUAAUUCUCAGACACAGGGGGGAAUCAACAAAAGGCGCUUCGAGUGCGGCAGAUAAGCGAAAUGUGACAAAGUCACAAAUGCCGCGCACUGCAGCUUUUCUGGAGGGUGCUGCUGCCCUUGUUCGGAUGAGCACAGCCCCAGCAGCCAUUCGCAAGCCUCUGCUCACUGCCAAUGUGAUUUUUAUUUUAAUGCAACACAGAAAACAACUCUCUCACGCACUCCCCUUAUCAACCUGCACAGCUAUAUUACGCCUGGAGGUGCACGUCAGAGUAAAAGACAGACUGAUCCAAAGCCUUGACCAUAUUAACUGAAAUAUACAAAGCUCUCUUCCUGCAGAUAUGAUGCAAACAGCAAGAAAAAGCCGAGUAUGAAAACAUAACUUACAUCUUUGGACGGAAGAAAAUGGUGCUAAAGAAUAAUAAGGCUUAUUUAUUUCUUUAUACAGAGGGAAUAUUCAUAAAUAGUAACAACACUAAACCACUCAGAGUCGAACAUGUUCGACAAUGGUCAAAUAUGGGUGCAUUCCAUGCAAGACGAUUAAUACUGGGAUGUGGACAUGAAAAGCUAGGCAAAAAAAUGGCAUUCAUUGAAGAGUGGCAAAUUCGUAGGCCAGAGGUUUCCGGUCCCAGAUUUCACAGGAAAUUAGAAAAAUAUUGCAUUUGGCCCAAAUAAAUUAAAAAGUUGAUCAGAUUCAGACAGGAAAUUUGAGCAUUUCGUUCUUUGACUGUUUGAGUAUUACAGAGUGCAAAGCUAAAAUGAAAUUACUGGAGUCUAUAAUUAGGGAUAGAAUAAUUGAAAGUCUUGAACAUUUUCAUCAGUCAAAGGGAGAACCAGCAUAAAUGAGCACAUUGAUGACAAACAUUAAUAUUUGUAUAGAUCACCAAUUAACUGAAUGAGGCUUAGCGAUGAGUGAUAAUUGUAGACUAAUAGGCAAGUGAUAGAUUUCUAAUAUUAACCAUUUUCAAACAUUAAGAUCAUUGAUUUUUGUACACCCCUAUCUCCUGCAAGCUGGCAAGAAACCUUAUUUUUAAUCCAAUUCAAUCUUGUUUAUUCAUCUUCUUAGGCAACUGGGCAAGGAGUUCCAGAGUUUGGUACUGGUAAAUGAACAGCCACAUAUUUCCAACUCGGAGUGAUCCGAUUUGGACAGUAAACUGCAGAUAUUAAUGGCAUUUCUUUAUGUUAUCUGGCCUUGCCCUACGUGGUCGUAGAUGUGGCAGGUUUGGGAGAUGCUAUCAUUGCAGCUUGACAAGUAACUGCAUUGCACUUUAUUGGUGGCAUCCUGCAGCAAAUAUAUGCCAAUCAAAGCAGUGAACGUUUAAAGCAGUGUGAUGAACAAGGUGCCAUAUUAUGUUGCCUCAUUGAGUGAGUUUGGAGCGACAUGCAGUCAAAUGGGGAGUAUUCUACAACCUUCAUGACAUGUCAUGGAGAUGGCAGAGUUGUAGUUAAAAGAUAGUUUGUUUAAAUUAGAAGUCAUGGAAUUGAUGAUUAGUCUUGGUGAGCAUAGAAAAUUUCAAAAGGUAAUUGGGAUCAAAAUCGGUUAUAAAAAAUUGACAGAAUGGUACUUGGAUCGGUUUGGCCUGUCCCAGUCCAUCCUCUGGAAUAGAAUACAAUAAACCCACGUUCAGCAGUAACACAAAGAUAGGAAAUAAAAGUUAAAGUGAAAAUCAGAAAUAAAUACUGCCAGUUUAACCAGUCUGGGAGUGGUUUCUUCACUUGGGAAUUAUCUACCCUUGGAGUUGUGGACGCUGAGUCAUUUUAUAACAAAUGAAAGGCAAAGUUUUUGAACUACAAGCAAAUCAAAAUGUAUGACAAGCAUUGAAGUGUUGAGGUCAAAGCGCUGCCAUAACUUUCAUCAUGUCAGAACAAGAUGAAGACUUAACUGCAAUUGCAAUAUUUUACAAACUAUAACUGUACAUUUAAAAAAAUGAUUAAUUUCACGUGAAAAAAAGUUGAAAUAUAGUUUUUUUCAUUAUCUCUUGCCUGAGGAAAUACUUCCUGGCAUCAUCCCUGAUCUACCUCACACCAUUUAUAACGUCACCUUACUUGUUCUUGUCAGUAAGAAGACAGUUGCUCCCAACUUAAAUAUUUUUAUACAAAACAUUUACAAAUAAAAACGACAUGCACUAAA